rnacentral:rRNA from 1 species
CAAUAGCGUAUAUUAAAGUUGUUGCAGUUAAAAAGCUCGUAGUUGAAUUUUUGCUUGCCGCCGAUGUCGGAACUUCCGUACGUUCGGCGGCGUGCAUCCUUGGGUGGAACCUGUGUGGCAUUAGGUUGUCGUGCAGGGGAUGCUCAUCGUUUACUGUGAAAAAAUUAGAGUGUUCAAAGCAGGCUUACGCCGUUGAAUAUAUUAGCAUGGAAUAAUAAGAUAGGACCUUGGUACUAUUUUGUUGGUUUGCGCACCGAGGUAAUGAUUAACAGGGACAGUUGGGGGUAUUCGUAUUCCAUUGUCAGAGGUGAAAUUCUUGGAUUCCUGGAAGACGAACUACUGCGAAAGCAUUUACCAAGGAUGUUUUCAUUAA